rnacentral:lncRNA from 1 species
UGUGUGUGUGUGUGUGUGUGUGUGUGCUGUAGAUGUGUGAACAGGAGAAGCUUCUAAACACACAUCAGGAGCAUGUUUCUGAGCUGCAGCUCACCAUCCGCAGACUGCAGGAAGAAGAGGUGAACAGCCAGACUCAGCUGCAGCUGUGCAGGAGAGAACUGGAGACCAGAGAUGAGCAAGUGCAGAAACACUACCAAGAGAUGAGCACUCUGCAGGCAACAGUGUCCAGGCUGAAGCUGGUGCUGGAGCAGGAGCGGGAGAGGUGGCGGCAGGGGGUACAAGAGGCAGCCAAGGCCGAUCAGAGAGGGAGAGAGCUGAGACUGGAGCUCAGCACAGCACAGGCCUCUCAUAAAGAGUACAUGGAGCUGCUGGCUGAGUACAGUCGAGAGGGGACGGCCCAGAGGAGUGAGCAGGCCCGUCUGCAGCAGUGCCUGAUCCAGCUGACAGAGGAGAGGGAGACUCAGGAGGAGAGAGUCAGACAGAUGAGCGCAGAUCUACAGAGAGCGCACAGUGAGAGCAGGUGCUCUCAGGAGGAGGUAGGACUGAUGCAUAUGCAUAUUGGGAUUCAUUGUUCAGUCUAUAUUUGU